AUGGCAACUAAAAAGUGCAGUCUGCAAGGGCGGCGCCUCCUGAUUGGAUCGGGCUCAGGCAGAGCCGCAGAGAAGCCGCUGAUUGGCUGCGCAGGGUCAGGCGCUGUGGGCCGAGUGAACGCGAGUAACCCUGUAGGCGGGUGCUGACCGGGAGUAACCCCGGGAGGGACCGCACGCCUCUCCCUUUGUCUCCUCCGACUCUAGGCUCCCGCCCCCCAGGCUUGCCUGGGCAGAGACAGGGCGUGGGAGCGGAGGCGGGGCUGAGUGCGACUGUGCAAGCCUCGGAAGACUCGCUAGACCGAAGCAUUUGAGCGCAGCUGCUUCCUUCUGCCUCAGGCCCCAGCUUUGUAAGUGGGGUUCUGUGUGAGGCCGAGUGGAAAUCUCUAGGACAAAAGUUUAUAGAUCUUCGAAUAGAAGUGGUGAAUGUGCCUUAGUGACUCUGGAGUGAUCUCCUGUAAACAGCCUUAAACUGCAAAAAGGUGGCUUCUCCCAGCCUGUACCUCCUGGAUGUACAAAACAUGCUUCAGGAAGAGAGCCAGAUGUGCAGCUCACAGAUCGAUUGCUUCUGUUUCUGUGAAACAUGCAGUUGAAGUCCAGAGAAAAAGAGAACCUGGCUGUUGCCAGGGGUGGGGAGUGGACCUGGAAGAGGUGGAGGUUGGUCACGGCAGAGAAGGCAUGAAGGAACAGAGCCUGUUCCAUGGGCACACAGAAGAGAAUGACUGUGGGAUCUGAUUUGCCUUUCUCAAGAAUCUUCAACACCGCUAACAAGCAGAGUGAUCUGUGGAGAUGCUGUGUUUUCCAGAAGUCAUCUCAAACAACGUUGAAAACCACCAAUAUGCUUCCCCAGGGCCAGAAUGUGUGUAGUCUUGUAGCUUCAAACUCCCAUCUCACCCCUAAGCCAAAACAGUAUGCCUUGUGAAACCACCUUACAGUUUCAUUCACAGAACAAGAUUCUCUGAGAGAAGGAAAAUAAACCAGAUCGUGGAAUUUCAACUUUUAAACAACA